ACGAUGUUCCGCUGCAAUGGACUGAAUAGCUUUGUAAGAGCAUCUG
rfam:Bacillus manliponensis strain JCM 15802 contig2, whole genome shotgun sequence.